rfam:Xanthomonas oryzae pv. oryzae KACC10331, complete genome.
AUGUACCAUUCGUACACUCCGAUUCUGAGCGCGCCGUUCACGCCCAUCUGACGGCUGCUCGCUACGGUUGUUAGCC